UAACACAUGCAAGUCGAACGAGAAAGCAUGGGCACUCUGUNGAGUAAGUGGCGUACGGGUGAGNUACACGUGGAUCAUCUACCUCUUUGUGGGGGAUACCCUGGGAAACCGGAGCUAAUACCGCAUAAGUCCGAGAGGAGAAAGCAGCAAUGCGCAGAGAGAGGAGUCCGCGGCCGAUUAGUUAGUUGGCAGGGUAAAGGCCUACCAAGACUGAGAUCGGUAGCCGGCCUGAGAGGGCACACGGCCACACUGGCACUGAAACACGGGCCAGACUCCUACGGGAGGCAGCAGUGGGGAAUCUUGCACAAUGGGGGCAACCCUGAUGCAGCGACGCCGCGUGAGCGAUGAAGCCCUUCGGGGUGUAAAGCUCUUUCGGCAGGGAAGAUUAUGACGGUACCUGCAGAAGCAGCUGCGGCUAACUACGUGCCAGCAGCCGCGGUAAUACGUAGGCAAGCAAAGCGUUGUUCGGAGUUACUGGGCGUAAAGGGUGUGUAGGCGGUUCUCUAAGUUUGGUGUGAAAUCUCCCGGCUCAACUGGGAGGGUGCGCCGAAAACUGGGGGGCUAGAGUACUGGAUGGGAGAGUGGAAUUCCUGGUGUAGCGGUGAAAUGCGUAGAUAUCAGGAGGAACACCUGUGGUGUAGACGGCUCUCUGGACAGUAACUGACGCUGAGACACGAAAGCGUGGGUAGCAAACAGGAUUAGAUACCCUGGUAGUCCACGCCCUAAACGAUGCAUAUUUGGUGUGGGUCAUUCAUUUGAUCCGUGCCGGAGCUAACGCGUUAAAUAUGCCGCCUGGGGAGUACGGUCGCAAGGCUGAAACUCAAAGGAAUUGACGGGGGCCCGCACAAGCGGUGGAGCAUGUGGUUCAAUUCGACGCAACGCGAAGAACCUUACCUGGGCUCGAACGGCUCACGAACGUCCUUGGAAACAGGGAUUUCCCGCAAGGGACGGGAGUCGAGGUGCUGCAUGGCUGUCGUCAGCUCGUGUCGCGAGAUGUUGGGUUAAGUCCCGCAACGAGCGCAACCCUUGUCCUGUGUUACCAUGCCGAAAGGCGGCACUCGCAGGAGACCGCCAGCGAUAAGCUGGAGGAAGGUGGGGAUGACGUCAAGUCCUCAUGGCCUUUAUGUCCAGGGCUACACACGUGCUACAAUGGGCGGUACAAAGCGCUGCGAAGCCGCAAGGUGGAGCCAAUCGCAGAAAGCCGCUCUCAGUUCGGAUUGCAGGCUGCAACUCGCCUGCAUGAAGCUGGAAUCGCUAGUAAUGCUAUAUCAGAACGAUAG
rnacentral:rRNA from 1 species